GCAAACUGUACCGCAAGGAGUCUAAUUUGUAGGGCAUUUGGAUAAAAUGAAACGCAACGCAUUGUACAUUACACACCACGUGCAUUUCUGAUGGGGAUUGGAGAUUGCAAUUAUACCCCCGGAAUGAGGAAUUCCCAGUAAGUGUGGGGCAGAAACUCGCUUUGAUUAAGUCCUUGCUCUUUGCA
rnacentral:ncRNA from 1 species